rnacentral:rRNA from 1 species
GAUGAACGCUGGCGGCGUGCUUAACACAUGCAAGUCGAACGGAAAGGCCCCAUUCUGGGUGUACUCGAGUGAGGAGCGGGUGGGUAACACGCGAGUGACUUGCCUUCCACUUUGGGUUAACUUACUGAGAGUGGGGGUAACACCGGCCAGAAGAUCUUUUUGCAUGGUGGGUGUUGGAGAGUUUCGGGGGGUUGGGGUGACCUCGCGGCGUAUCAGCUUGUUGGUGGGGUAGUGGCUUACCAAGGCUUUGACGGGUAGCCGGCCUGAGAGGGUGACCGGCCACAUUGGGACUGAGGGACGGCCCAGACUCCUACGGGAGGCAGCAGUGGGGAAUAGUGCCCAAGGGGUGGAAGCCUGAUGCAGCAACGCCGUGGGCGGGAUGACGGCCUUCGGGUUGUAAACCGCUUUCGCUCAUGACUAAGCUUUGUGUGACGGUAGUGGGUAAAGAAGCACCGGCUAACUACGUG